UUCUUUUUUCCUUUUCUUUCUUCUUCUUCUUCUUCUUCUUGUUCUUAUUGCGGGUUUGACAGGCGCUUUAGGAUCGUUUAAUGGGUUUAAUUGUUGGUGGAAAGGGGCGAAAUUUUGUGAAUGUGAGUUGUGGAAUAAUAAGAAUGGAAUAGUUGGGAAUUAUUUGGAAAAAUUGGGGCGAGUGGAUUGUUGUCAGGAAGUGAAAUUGUGUGCGAGGAAAUAAAGUGUACAUUGGGAAACUUGGAAUGGAAGAGUUAAAGGAUUAUUUGUUGAAAUAAGUGUGGUAAAAUUUUACAAGUCGAGAGAUUAUAUUGAGAAAGCGUGAUGUACGUAUAUUUUGAAUAUUUUUAUUUGUAUUUGAUUUUCUUGUCUGAUAUAUAUAUAUAUAUAUAUAUAUAUAUAUAUAUAUAUAUAUAUAUAUAUAUAUAUAUAUUGGAUGUAAGUAUCACUUUAUUUCCUGUAAUUCUUGCAAGUAAUUUUUACAAAUCGUAAUAUAAUUAUUAGGCGUUAUGUCGAUAUAAGUAUUUUUAAUUUACGCUGAAUUUCGUAUACAACAACAACAGAAGCGUUCCAGGAAGGGAUUAUCUUUGUAAACCUAUAUCAUCGUAUUUGGUUUUCUCAGAACAGCGUUCGAAGUUUGAACAAAAGUAAACAUAUGAUGUGUACAUCACGAAUGUCCCGUCGAAUGUUUUGUUGGAAUAGAAUUCAUCGCUUUAGAUCGUUCCCUUUUCAAAAAUGAAAUACAGUCAAAUUCGUGAGCAUUAAUAAACAAGUAAAUCAUUAUGACAGUGGAAAACGUACAGAGAUAUCGCGGAUGAGAUUAAAAGAGAAGAAAGGGUUCAAGCAUCGAAAUAUUAGAUUCCGUUUGAUAAUAAAAUAAUCAUUUGGAUAAAAAUCGUUUUGUAUUAUCGAUUAAUUUCCAUUUUCGAUCGCGUGUUAAUUAGUAUCGAUUCGACACACGGAUAUUAUUACGAUAAAAAGGGGGUUAAACAAGGAAUUCGAAAUAUCAUUUUGCCAUUUAAACGUUAUGCCACGUCGAAAUUACUCUCUCCACUUUUAUUCCGAGCAAAUCGAACGGACGAUCAACUCUCAUUCCCUCACCCUUCCCGCGGGAUACAAUUAAAAUUAAUUAUUUCCAAGGAUCAGCUAAAGAUACAUUCAAAUGAAUUCCCAUGAAUUCAAUGAAUAACAACUUGGAAGUGUUGCUGGAUGCAUAAGUUUGCGUUAUCGUGAAGAAAUGGAAAGGAUUAAAUGAAUCGAUCAAUUUUGGAUAAAAAUUGUAGAUAAUGUAAGAAUAUGUAAGAUACGUAUAAAAUGACGAAUUGUUCAAACAAUUUCUUCUAAUUUUACUACUAAAUGUAAAAAAUGGCAUAUCAAGAAUCAUUAGAAACAAAUGAUUAGACUGUGAUUAGACAGAAUAUUUGAUAGUUGAACGUGCAAUCUUCAAUGGCAAUUAAUAAAGAAAUUAGAAAUUCUUCGAGCGAUAAAUUAAUGUAUACAAAUUGUAUCAAAAUUGAAAUUACACGAAAGUAAUCUAGCAUUAAUUUUCUUGAAAAUUUUAAAAUGGAGAAAAUUUUGCAUGAUAAUUUAUGCAUUUAAUUAUUAUAUAUCUGGAAUACGAGAUGAUUGGACAAAUUCUCUCUUUCUCUCUUCAAUGUCCUGUUCGUUUUUGUCCACGUUCGUGUGAGAAAUGAGUCGAUCAAGUGGAUCAGAACACCUUGGAGGAUGAGAAUUACGGGUAUUCUAUAGGAUGCCAGUCAAUCUUUUUCUCGGGCUUCUUGCACGGUCUUUUCGACUUCGUCGAGCACCAGCGUCGAAGCGGAAGGAAAGGAUACUCGAGCGAAAGUGUAAAAGCGUGGACUAAAAAAAAAAAAGAAAGAAAAGACAAGGAUAAAACGAGAAAGACAAACGUUUCGAAACAAAACUGAAGAAAUUUAUGCAAAUAUUUUUCUGAGUAAAAGUUAAAAAAAAAGAAAAAAAGAAGAAGAAAAAACGAAGGGAAAUAAACGUGACGAGAGAAAACUACCCUCAAGAAAUAUAUUAUUUAAUCAAGGAAUAGUGGACAAGUAAUCCCGGCGAUGUUUAUUGAAAAUACCAAUGAAUAAAUGUCAUCGGUGUGUACGGGAUCUCACGGAAAUUCAGGGAUCGCGUGUAUACAACGCCGUGUAUAAUCGUAGCUACAGCCUCUCUAAAUAUUCAUAUCGCGUAUUCCGACCGAGUAUACGCCAUUUCCAGCGCAUGGAUCGCCGAACGAGAGUAUGACUGUAAGGCAUAAAAACCAUUAAAUACAGGACGAGCGCUAUUUAUUUCCCAUUUAAUCGUUCUUUCGUGAACGUGCCGCCAGCCCUUGAAAUCCCAUGAAUGCCCAAGACGAUCAUUUCUUCCCAACAACUUUUUCAUACGAGUUGAUUAUAAUGUUGCUUUCCUGUCUUUCUACAGAGUCCAAUUCCACGAAAUGAUACUUUUUAAAAAUCCAUCAAAAUUAAUCGUUUAUAACGAGAUAAUCUUCGAAUCGUAUUAAUAAAUACGGAAUGCGCCAACAAGGAAGGUUAUCCUUUACGUAAUUCUUCCCCAUUGUAAUCGUCGAAUAAUCCAAGCCCUUUUUGCUCAUUAAUAUCGAGAAAUAAUCAACAAAGUAUCCAACGAACGAAACGUGAAAUUAACGAGAAUCGUCCCUUUCGCAAAUCGUUUUUGAUAAUUAACGCAAUCCUAUCCGAUAUAAUAAUUAAUCCAUAUAAAACGAAUGUUAAUAAUUAAUCUAUAUAAAACUCUUUUCAUUUAGAUCCAGCAGAAGGAGAAGGAAUAAAGGAAUAAAGAAGGAACAAAGAAUCGAUUAUCCGAAAUUUAGACUUAUUUCAAGUAUCCUCGAGAAAUGAUAUACUUCUGCUUCUUUUUGCAAUUCCUAUCAUUUAUUCUUGGUAAUUUUUUCGAUAAAGUUAAUCCAUAUCAGAGAAUUUUAAACUUUAUUUAUCCGGAGGAAAUUAAUUUCAGCUAAAUCAUCUUAGAUUUCGAUCUUUCUAUUACUUAUUUUUCAGGAUUUUCAUUAUCGAUUCAGGAUCAAUUUCUUAUACCGUGUAAAUAUAUCACUCCAGCAAAGUCCAUUAAAUCCAUGUUUCGAUUUUUACAACGGGAUGGAUAUUCGAUCGCGAUAAGAAAUUUUUCUUUGACGGUAACACGAGAGGGCCGUGGUCGUCCGUUUAGUAUCCGUGCGUGGACGUUCUUUUUUUUUUUUUUUUCCUCCUCCAUUUUAUUUCCCACGCGCAAAUUCGUAUCUAUCUUACACGACAAAUAUUCGAUUCUACGAAAACGUAUUUCCACCGAUAGCUAUCACGGCAUGGAAACCACACACCGUUACCCGCGCUUCCGAGAUAUCUCGUCCGGGUUGUGUAAAUUUAUCGACCACUUGGACAAGAGCUAGGCACUCGAUACAGAGAACGUGGACGUAUGUUGGUACGGUAACUUAUCUAUAAAAUCGUUGUCCAGGAUUUCUAAUCAGGGAUGCGAUUUAAUUGCGUACAUAUCUGCGUAACGAAUCGAAAUCGUCCGUUUUCACGUUUGGUUAAAAAAAUAAGAGAUGAUCGAAGAUGACAGAAGAUCGUAGCGUUUCUCGAUCAAUGAAUUCUUUCAUUGGAGUUUGACGAAAAAUAUAUUUAGAUUUUGAAACACAAUAAUAAAAGCAAAAUCUUAUUAGCGAUGUAGUAGUUAAGCGUAGGUAUGCAUGAUCAUUGUUACGAAUUGCUGUGAUAUGCGUACAAAUGGAUUAAAUAGCAAUAUUUUUUAACGAUACAGAGAUUCUGUGGGUUUGUAUUUAAAUUUAAGACUCUAUGUAUAUUUUACCGUCAUAAAAAUUUGAAUGGAAAUUAUAAUUUAAACGCGUUGAAUAUUUUAUCAAAAUUUUCCAUUUUAAUCGUAUAAAUAUGCCUUCUUAUUUAUCAAAGAUUUUUCUCGAGGAAAGAAAUAUUGCAAUUUACCAACGAUUAAUCUAUCCUUCUUUUACUAUCAAUUUACUCAAGCUAUCAAGAUUUUCUUUGAUCGUCUAAUAAUUUCUCUUUAGUUAUUGACAUGCCUCUUUGAGAUAACCCUUUUCUGUCUUCCAACGUAACCCAGUUUACUGAAGUCUUCUUAAAGGGCUUCCUAUAAUUGCCGAUACUUGCUUUUCCUCAGUUUCUCAUCUUUGAUUAAUUUUUACAAUCUCUCAAAGCCCUCUUUUUUUAUUAAUUACAUUUUAUCCUUAUUAAUCUUUCGUUUGUUCCUCGGCGUUCCUGUUUCGUUGGAUAAUCUUUUUCAAUAAUCUUUAUGAAAUUUUAAAUACGCCGUUAAUUAGUUAUCCACCCUCUCCUCCACAAUUUUCAUUCCUUCUUGUAAAACUCCUUCCAUCUUUCGUGUAUGUAUAUACGCAAUAAAACUCUUAUCUUAUCCUUACUGAUCUUCCAUUCUUAAAUUCAUCUCGCAAUUACGAAAAACUAUUCCCUUCAAUAACGUUAUCCUUACACGAUAUAAAAAUCAUCAUCGACGACAUUAUCCUUCAUUCAAUAUCCAACGAACAAAACAAAUCCAAUCCCUCCCUCGUGUUCCAAUUUAUUUCCAAAAACCACUUUCCCCCUCCACGAUCGUUGGAUUCAUUUAUCCUUCCACCUAUUCCGACAAGACCAUCCCACUAUUAUACCAUCGUGGAAACACGCCACGCCAGCUCUGUCACGCACCCUUUAAUUCAUUAAGAUCCAAUUUCCCUUUUGUACCAUUGGCAAAGUAACUCAUCGACCCAUCUCGUCAUGUAAAUUCAUCGACCGCCGAGAUAACCUUCGUGCAAACCAUCCUCACAAACACACCGCGCAAACGAAGCGUGAACCCCGAGUCAAGCCUUGGCGGCAACGUGUUGGAUAUUGGUAAAGUUGCACGCGACAUUCUGCCACUCGAACCACCCAUCCACGAUUCCACCCUCGCCUCCCUUUUCGAGCAAGGAUGCGGUCCUCGGUCACGAGUUUCCUCGAGAAGCCCGGCCAAGUCGUAAUAAAAAGGCCGUGAGCGAGCGAGGGUAAAUGGCAAAGGGGGUUGAAAGGGCGCGACGCGGUUCGAUGCAUCGCGAUAAAACGAUACGAUCGAGGUACGCCCUCGAGUGGCGAAGAUUCUUCGUGGAUCAGCACGGCGAAGAGGAGGGUGAGGGUGAUGAUGGGCUUGGCGCGAUCGUAUUUAUGAUUGUUGACUUAUCCGGGGAUCCGUGUUUGCCGUGACUUGUUACGCAACUCGGCGGAGGAAAGGACAAUUGGACGAUUGUUCCCUCCUCGAGAGAGAGAGAGAGAAUUUUGUGUUUAAACUUUUGCGAUUUCUUUCUUUUGGGACGCUUCGUGUUUUCAAGUAGAAAGAAGAAAUGGGAUAAGAAUGAAAUUUAAUUUGAUAAUUCGUUGAAUGGAGUCGGUAGGUUCAAGUAGUUAAAUUGAUAAAGGUAUUAUAUGCGAAGUAUAGGUGAAAUUAAGCAUAGAUGAGGAGGUUAAAUUUAAUUAUUACAAUGAUUUGCGAUACAAUACAGCGAAGAGUGAAAAUUGAAUAGUUUAAAAUGGUGUUAAAUUCGUGAAAUGCGGUUGAAGAUAUUUCGUGGAUAUUUGGUGGAUUAAAUGGUUAGAAGUAAACAAAAUUUGAGCACAUGGGAUAAUAUAGUGGUUAAAUAAUUAGUUUAUGACGAAUAUAGAAUGUGUAAUUGUAACAAUAGCUUAACUUAAGUUUAAGUUAAUUGUUAAUUAUUCGUGAAAAACGUAUUAAUCGAUCGUUUAAAUUUCGUAAAAGUAACAAUAUAACUUAAACUAUCUACAAUGAAAGAUCUAAUUUUAAAAAAAUUUUUUCCCCAAAAAUAUUCGUAACAUUAUAUUCAUCAUUGUUCAUUUUCCAGAAUAUAUCGUUAGAAUCUGUGUUAAAUUCAAAAAUAUAUUUAACAGGACUUCGGAAGAUAAAUCCUAAAAAAUUUCAUGCAAAUUGAAUCAAGCACGUUUAAUUAAAUUUACACGAUCGUCUCGAUUCUUUAGACAAUUCUUUUUCUUUUAUUACACUUUUUUUUUAGAAUUUUGAUCGAUAUUUUUAUACAAUUUUGGUCUCUCCUUCUUCUACAAAUAUAUCGACGUUCCGUCAUAAAUUCAUAUUUCUUUCUUUGUCAGUCGCUCGAUCUUUGCAACCUCGAAUCGUGGAUAACCCUUAUUCCCUCUCUCUCUUUUUCUCAUCCUUAUUCGAUGGAAUAACGAGCGUUUUCGUCGUCGAGAAGGCGAAACCGAUCGCCUGGACUAAGUGGACCGAAUGAAGACUAAUGGGAAUGAAAAAUGAGAAACGAGAGGAAGAGAGAAAGAGAGAGAGAGAGAGAGAUGGCAGGGAUGGAAGGGAGUGGACUGGAGUCCUGUUAGUAUUCAUGGAAUUCCAUGCAUUCGGAUUAUUAUUGAUUCGACGCGACGCGUCGAAGAAAUUGGCCGUGUUGGAUUGCGGUUUCCGCGACGAGGUUUUUGCCGCUUUUGAACGUGCCAACAUUUUUCAGUUUGUUGGGGAUUUGAUUUAAUUGUGCGUUAUAUUUGAUCAAGAUGAUUAAAUGAAAUAGAAUAAAUUUAGGAGGAGAUGAAUCAUCGAUAUUUGAAUUGAUAGAGAGAGAAAGAGAUGAUUCGGAGAAAGAAAUUUUUAGUGUUGAAUUUUAAAAUCAACCUGAAUCGAAUUUUUUGAACAGAGAUUGAACAGAGUAUCGAUGUGAUGAUAUAAAAGGUGAAGUAGUAGCAUCUUCGUUUUUAGUUAAUCACUGGAAAAAAUUAUGUUCAAAGAGAAAGAAUCAAAUUAACAUAUUCUACAACUAUUUAUUCAGAGAUUACAAAUUAAAAUGUAUAUCGAAUUUGAAGGUAUCAAAUUCAAUUCAGACACGUUACUAAGAGAUUCGAUCGACCCUUCCUCAAUUACGUCAAAUUAUUCCACGUUUCCUAAAAUAUCAGGCUAAAUAAAUCGAUCCCAGACGAAAAUUAAAAAAAAAGAAAUCCACAGAAAAAAAGAGAAAAAGGAGAAAACAGAUAGAAACGAGAAAGAAAUAAACAAACCCGGACAAAAUUGCUCGAUGACGUGGGCGGAUAAACGAGAGACAAGGCUCGCUAAUACCAGCUCGAAAAACAAGCGCGGCACAGCGUGCUGCCGGAUAUAUACGCGCGCCAGUAAUUUUUUAAUUGCGUUUCCAUCGGACAUUUUUAUGGUCGACUAUUCCUCGCGUGGCUAUAGCCAUCGCGCAUCCGGUCACGACCAAUCCCUCCCCACCCACCCCAGAAACCAUUUCACGCAGCCCACCCCACUGUGUAUGUGUACCCAGGCUGUGUGUACACGCGGAUGCGCGCCCGUUUUAACCCUGCGAAAUUAAAUGAAUCUGGGUUGCUUCACGAGCGAGCGAAAACACGCGAUAAACACAAUUGCCGCGCCGAGUCUCUCCUCGCUCUAAAGUGUUCAUCCGCGCACGUGUCUCGCCCCGAAUACGACGACUUGAGAUGGUGAACAUGGAAAAUGCGUCGAACUUUAAACUUUUGGAAUUUUGGGAGAAUUAUUUUUGCGUGGAAAAGUUAGACAAUUGGUUUGGUAGGUGAUAAUUUUUGUAUUGUAAAUUUUUUAGUGUUACUCGAGAAGCUCAAGUUCGUAUGGAAAGUUGGAUCAUGGUGAAAUUGGAUAUAUGGUGUUGAAGCUUGGAAUAUGAUGAAUUUUUUUAUCGUAAAGUUUCUCCAUUUCGGAAACGAAAAUUAGUGGAUAUUGAAAUUAAGGAGGAUUAGAUCGGUUCGUUAAUUUUUAUUUUUAGAUUUUUAGCCUGUGUGAUUUGGGUAUUGGUAAAAAACGAUUGUUCAAUCUAAAUCUCAAUUUGUCUGCAGUAGUCCAUAGAUCACAAUUAGUCGAGAUUUCCUAGCCUCGUUAAUCACCGACCUACGCACUGAAAGUAUCGAUGUUACUUCGAAUAAAAGACUAUACAGGGAUGCCCGAAAGUAGCUUUUUGUAUGAAUUAUUAAUUACGUUAAAAAUUGAUAAUCGAAUAUAAAAAUACAACGAAGUAUAUUAAAAGGAUAUUUUUUCCAAUAAUAUCCUUCUUCUUUCGCAUUUACUUAUAAAUAUUUGUCAAAAUUAUCGUCAAGCGUCACGCGACUAAUCCAACCAAAAAUUAAUUCAACUGAAAUUUCACAAAUACUUCGUCACAAGGAUUAAUUACAAAAGCCCAGUUACCGAAGAAGACUCUAUAUUUACAAAACUCUCCAAAGGAAAUCCUGCUAAGACUGUGCAAUAUAUACACUUUCCCCAUUUUCUUAUAACAUUAAAUUUCACUAGCUAAGAAAAAUAACCUUCGUAACGCGCACGAGCCAGCGAAGACACUCGAACGAAUCCAAUUUAAACGGAAGAAACGAAGCAGCCACAUUGUAUCGGGCAUCCCUUCCACGAUCUUAACGAUGCACAGGCUGUGCUCACAAUCGACUCUCGCCCCCCUUUCGAUCAAUUUACAUGCCCUUCCGGUUAAUAGCCUGUCUUCACUUCCGUCCCACUCGACGACUCAUCGCCUCUCCCCUCCGUUUGUUUUUCUCUCUUUGGGGUCCGAGUUUUCCUCCCCCUGCCUGCCUGUCUCCGCUCGGCCAUUCCACCAGACCAGGAUCAACGAAGCUUUUAUUAGUUCGACGUGGUGCGACGGUCGUGGGAGGAGGCGUCGAUGCUCGGCGGGAAAGCGGCGGAGACAAAAGGGGAGAGGGGAGGGCAGAGGGUCGAAUUCCCAGUAGAUCACUGUCAGGCCUCGAGAAGCCAAUAUAAAUACCUCAACGCCUCGCCAGCUUUGCUUCUCGCGUUGCUGCUAGCCCGUUGUAACCUGUCUGUCCCGUUUGUUUCCCCCCCUCGCGCUCGUGGAACAGGCACGAUUUGGAUUUUUCACUCGUGGAAUGUAUUAUGCGCGUUGUUGUUGUUGUUGUUGUUGUUGUUGCAGGCAAAAAAAGAGAAGCGUUUCAUCGUUGACGGGAAAUUGAUAAUGGAUUUGAACCGGUUUGUAACGAAGGAUGAGGAAAAAUUGAUGAGGAUGAGUUUAUAUAAUCAAUUUGAUCUUUUAAUAAUCCUUAGUUUCUAUAUUUUAUAUACAAAAGAUUUGAGCAUUAAAAUAUCCGUAUAUCCAUAUUUGAUGCUUCCAUUGAAAAUUCGUUAUUCAAUAUCUGGAACGUUUAAGUUUAAAAAAAAAUCCGGAGGAAUAUUGGCAAAGAUAGAUAUACGAAUUAUAAAUAUUCAUUGAAAAGUUUGUAAAUCGAUCGGAAUGAAAUUUUUAACGCGAUUCCAAGUAAGACGAAAGUUUAUUAAUUAUACGGGCAAUUUCAUUUAGACACGAUUAUUGAAGAGGGUGUAAAAGAGGGGGUGAAUGAAGACGUUCUUCAUCGAGCAAGAAGUAUUAUACAAGGCCGGUGUCAGCCCCGAGAACGGAUUAUUCCACGUGCAUACGAGUUCAUUUUGUUGCCUCUUAUUCUCGAGCCGAGCUUCCGUUUUCCUUGCGGUGAACUAGUUUCCUUCCGAGCGGUACGUGAAUUCAAAUUUGACGUGGAGAACUCUUAGAAUAUCGGUACGCGAGUUAGUUAGUCGUUGCGCAACGACACUCCUUGGGAGACGCAAGAAAAUCCUCACGGUCGCGGUUUAUCCCUGGGGAAACUUAAUCGCGAUUGUUCCGCCCUCCUUUCCCAACACUGGAGUAUCGUUGCCUCGAAGAGAAUCGUCUAUUUAACGCGAAGAGAAGUUUCUUUGCUCAUUAGAAAGACUAGGAGCAUCUUAUGGUUGUCUGACGACGCUGGUCUUCUUUCAACUUGAUUAGAUUUGGACGUCUUCCAUUUAAAUUUUAGGUGCGAAGAGAGAUAUUUAGUCAAGGGAGUCUGUAUUGUGUUAAAUUUGGUUUUAUUUUUCUAAGGGGGAAUUGGAAAUGUUUUAUUUAUCGUUUAAAUAAGACUCGAUUAAUUAACUCGAAGAUAUUGAUUCUCGAUCAAUGGAUGAAACGUCAUUGGAGACGCGAAAUUUUGUUCUUUAAAACGCUUUUUUAUUUAUUUCGACGAGAUAUCAUCGUGCAAAGAAAAGAGUAUUUUUUAAUCCGAUUAAAUCGUAUUAAAAUUAGCAAAACUUUAAACUGCUAUAACUCGGAGGAUAAUAACUUCCGGUUAACGGAUAAAAGAUCAUUAGAAGCGCGAAACCUUACCCUUUAAAACGCCUUUUCACUUAUCAGGAUACGACUUCCGGUUCCCGAGAUAUCAUCGCGCAAAGAAAAGAGUAUUUUUUAAUCAUUCAUCUUAAAUCCGAUUAAACCGUAUUAAAAUUAGCAAAACUUUAAACCGUUAUAAGUCGGAAGAUAAUGACUUCCGGUUAACGGAUGAAAGAUCAUUAGAAGCGCGAAACCUUACCCUUUAAAAUGCUUUCUCACUUAUCCCGAUACGACUUCCGGUUCCCGAGAUAUCGUCGUGUAAAGAGGAGAGUAAUUUUUAAUCGUUUGCUAUUUGCAUCCUUAUCGCAUACUCGGAUCUUUCGCUCGCUCCUCGUCUCACUGACCUAUCCCAAAUUCCAGACAAGUGCCAGACGCGAUUCCUAGAAAAACAUAGUACGCAUGUAAUGUAGGUCAUGGUUCCAUUCAUAAUCUUUGCGCUAUGUUAAGCGUUACGGGCAACUUUAAAUCCUCGUAUCUCGGCAACGAAUUGAGAUAUCAGGAAAAAACAAAAAGCGAUUUCAAUGGCAUGGUUUUCUCUAUUCUCUGAAUGGAUUUUGAUGACCGAAUUUUUAAUUUUUCCAUAUGUUUUUUUACACGAAAAGUCGAUCAAUGUUUAAAUAUCAUAUGUUUUAAUUGCAUAAAAAUUUGUAUUUAAAUUUGUAUUUAUUAUCGCGUAGAGUCGAUUAUUCUAUACGGGAUUUAAAGAUUUAUUUGUUUGAAUGGGUCAAGCAUGUAACUAUCCCCAGACGGUCGUUUUUCAUCUGUCUUUUGGGCGACAGAAGCUUGACGGCGCGGAGAAUUGGUAUCCCUUCCAAGAACACGUUCUAAGAACACACUGGAAUAUCUCGUCACGUAGGUCCACUGAUUCAAGGCGGCCAGAAUUAAGGCAACUUGCGCUCCAAAGUUUGCCUCCUUUUUUCCUGAUGGCCAUCCAAACUUGAGACUGAUUCCUGAUUUCACGGUUUUUACCACGUAACACACGGAUAACCAUCAUGAGAUUUUCUUCAAUAUCCGCCAAGUUUCGCCUUGUUUUUUGCCUUCCAUGGAGUCACGACUUCGGUUUUACUCUUUUUAUAUUUGAUUUCUCCAUUCUAGUGGUUGCUUUCAUAUUUUCUCUUGAUCUUUUAAAUGUAAUUUUCUUUCCUCUUACAAUUCCUUAGUAUUUCAUUUUCUUCGUUAUUUUUAUCUCUCGUUGAUUCCUUUAUAUUUUAUUUCCUUUUACUUCUGAUCUUUUUUGUACUUUUUUUUUCUAUUUCUAAUCCUUUUUUUAAAUUUAUAUCGGAGAAGAAACACUUAAUUAGUAUGAUAGGUGGUAAAAUCAUAAAAAGACGUGGUAUUUUUAUCUUCAUAAAUAUAAAUGAAAUAUUAGGCUAAAUGUAUACGUGUUGUAAAAAUUUUUUCGAGAAAAAUAAAACAUUGCAAAUUUAGUUUUUUUUAGGAGAAUUAUACAAAAAUUACAUUAUUAAUUUGUUUGCAAAUUUUAUUUAUAGAACAGAUAUUCCAUUCACUGAUCUCGUUCAUUAAUUUUUCUAUAUUUCGCAUGAAUUACUUGAUACAAUUUUUUAAUGAAACGUUAGCUUUUUAUUGAAGCAUUCGUUUCAUACUUUAUGAAAAGAAUAUCUAUACUUCAAAAAAUUCAAAGAGACAUUCAAAUUAUUUUAAUAAUGAAGCGGUGAAAUGAUUUCAAUUAAAAAAUCGUACGAAAAAAAAUGUUUUCUCCUUGAUUUCCGUGUAAUAAAUUAAUAUUUUGCGAUUUAGAUUAUUUUUUAAUGGAAUUUAUGGAACGACUUCGUGUAAUUAUUGGUACAACAUAUUUAUAAUUUAUUUUCAUUUAACUAUACGUUAUCGUUAUUUGCGUUACAAAUGUGCAAUCAAAUUGAAACAUUAUUAUUUUAAUAAAAUUUAUAAUACUCUGUUUAUAUAAAAUGUUUGCGAUACCAGUCCAGUUUAUUGUUCAAAUUGUAAAUAAAUAUCAGCAAAUAUGAUUAAACAUCGCAGAAUUCUCAAUAUAAAUAUCGUUUUAUGUUAAUCCCGCGGAUAGUAACUAGCAAAAGUAUUUACAGUUGGCGAAGUGCAUCGUGUGCCUUCAACUCUUUAAACAAUAAUUCCGCAAUUUUAAUUUCGAACCUUUACAAACUCAAUCUCGUUCUCGCACAAAUAUUGUUCCAUCGCAACACGUGUGCACUGCAAAAAGGAAUACAACGAUUCGUUCGGCCAACAAAAACGAUCGUUACAACCCUUUGGCUUAAACUAAAUUCUUGAAACACUUUUUAUUUUUGAAAAAAUAAUUUUCGACCCUGAAUACAUUUUCGUUAAUGAUAAAUAGAAAUUUAAUCAGAAUUUAGGAAAAAAACUAUAAAACACCAAUAAAUUUAAUUCGUUCGUUUAAUUUUACAUCAAUUUUUCCAAGAAACUGGUAUUCAAAUUCAGAAUCGACGAGAUCGUAGAAUAUAAUAAAUCUACGAAUUUAGCAUAUUUUUUAAAUAUAUAUAUAGUUAUAUUUUAUUAUAUUUUUAACAAUUUUUUUAUAAUACAAAAAUUAUUACAUUAUUUUACAAUGAGACUUCGAUUCCUCGUCGCAUUUAUCUUGCACGAUACUUUCAUCACCUUGACGAUGAUUUCACCGUCGAUCCCGUAUGCCACGUGAGUAUCAGAGUGGUUUAAUGAGCCAUCCCGUUUCUCCAGUCUCGUCUACAGCCGUUUCUCUCGCCCUCCGCCCAACGACCUCGGAUUUCCAACCUCCUCCUCCUCCUCCUCCCUUCGAAACUCUGUCCCUCGCAACCCCACCCCUUCUCUCUUUCGCCGUUUCACGGCACCUGUGCUACCAGCCUCGGUCCUGCACAACCUUCGCCACCCUCACAAUUACGUAGCGCGUGAUCCGACUAGAGAAACAUACACCACAACUAGCACCCCCACCACCAACUCCCCGGAGACAGAGACCGAGGGGUGGUCUCCUUCCCCUUUCGAAAGCAUCGCCUCUUGCAUUCACAACCGAUUUUUCCCCCUUCCCUUCCACCUGAUUUCUCCCUUCUUUUCUCGUUUUUCAAAUCCCUUUUUACCUUUCGCAAACCUUGCCCUUUGCUCUUCCCUCCUUUUUGAAUUUUCUCUCUCUGCAUUCUUCCGUGUAUAUCCUCACGAUUUCGAUCCCUUCCUCGAAAUCACAAAGUCUUCUCCGUCUUAUUCCAGCUAUAUACACUCUUCCCCCGCACUUAAUAUUCUUCGUUUUCCUUUUUUACGACCGAUUUCUUUUCUUUUUCUCUUUUUUUUGCUAAGCUUUGUUCGAAGCGGUAGAACUUCCUUAUGUUUUGAGUCUCUUCAUAAUUCUGUUUCUCCUUUUUCUUUUUUUCUUUCUUCUUUUUUUUUUUUUACGUUUUUUUACGUUUUCCCCUUAAUCCUCUUUUCUUCAAUAUUUCAACUUCUUACCUUUUUCUUUUUUCUCUCUGUCUCAAUCCCUCUCAGUUUCUUCUUUUAUUUUUCUUUUUCUUGUCUUUUUCUGCUCCAAUUCCGUUCUUUCAACAGAAUUGUCGUCUUUUUUUUGUUACUGCUACUUAUUGGGACUUUUUGCACUGUUAUUAAACUGCAUAUUUCCCAUUUUUUCAUUCUCGUUUCCUUUUUUAAUCUUGCUCCCAGUUGCCAUUUUCAAUUUCAUUAAGUGUUAUCUCGAGUGUUGCGCCUCUGCGUUCCCGUAAUCUUUUACAGCGGCUAAAGUUAACGACUUGUGCCGACGUCUGUGUGAUUUUGUAUCAAUAUGAAUACGAAGAGCGAAUCGUGCAACAGGAUCAUUUUAUUCCAUUCUUCGUAGAAAGCUUACAACGUGGUUAGAGAAGACUUUUUUAUCAAUAUUUUAUUUUCCAAAAUUUUUUAAAGUCGUCUACAUUAGUGAGAUUUAUUACGUCUUAUUUUAUUUAUUAAUUACAUUGUUCAGAAUUUUGUUUGUCGCAAAUACUUCAAUUUUGACGUCAUUUUUUUGUUCGGUAAAAUUUCAAUUCCACUUUUAAUCAUUUCAUGUGUAACAUUUCGUUGGAUUAAAAAACAUCCCUGAGUUUCCUUUGAUGAAAAUAUCGUUCAAAAUUGUACCUUUAUGAUACAAAAAAUUCUAUUUAAUUCAAUAAUAUUUUCUCUUCGUCGAUAAAUUUUCAAAAUCAAUGAAACUUUUUAAAUAUGUUAAAGAAUGAUAAAUGUAUAUCUCUUAAAAAAAUCACGAGAAUCUUAUAAGAUCGUAGUUUAGUUUAGUUCAUUUUGUGUGCAACGAUAAUAAUAAUAAUAAUAAUUAUUCUCGUGUUACGUCAUCGUGUUAGGUCACGCUAGAUUUUCAUUUUGUAAAAUCCUUUCGAGGCCAAACGAAAAAUCGAUAAUUCCUGAAGAAGCUAAUAAGUUGCCCCUGAUAAGAGGGUCAGCGACGAUCUGGCUUGAAUUCUAGAAUUUUGACUUGAGAUUUGACUUGGAAAACCGACGAAACUGCAGUUUGCAGAAGCUUAACUUGCGCGCUGAAAUUCGAAACUUUACCUUUGAGGAAAGCAUGAAUCGGUAUUAACUUGAGUGCACCGCGGCUGUUUAUCAAAUAUAAACUGACCAAUAUUAUCGCGUAUGAUAAAGUUUCUCUCUAUAUUGGCUGUGUUUGUGGACGACUAACAUCAUUUCGCGAUAAGUGGAAAUUUUCUUCUGAUCGAUACGGAAUGUAUCGGGGUGGUAUAAUUUUUAAAACGUUCCUUUUUAAUAAUAAUAGUUUAUUUCAAUGAUGGAUCAUAAAUAAACUGUUUUUAAAUUAACAUUUCUCUUUUUAAGAUGAUAACAAGCCACGGGGCGAUUUGAUAAUUUGAUCUUUGUUUCUUGUACAAAUUCUUUAUCAAAUAUAAUUUUGACUGCAAAGAUUGGUAAAAUUCAUUGGAUUCCUUUAGUCAGCAUUCAAAAUUUAUAAUGAUAUUAGAGGGGCUAAAGGAAAAUCUGAGGUUUUAAUAAUAAGCUAAGUUGCCGUUGUAAAAUUACGUCUUUUCAUAAGCUAAAUAGUAGAUUUCCAUUGCCGUAACCGUUUUACGAGAUAGCCGGGAAAAGGUAAGGAAACAGUAUGAAAUCGUGAAAUCGGAUUUAAAAUUCUUAUUCACACCCUUCCUUAUAAUUAUGAAUCGAAAUUUCGAAAUUUUAAUAAAAAAAAUACGUACAAAAUUUCUCCUAACAAAUAAUUCAUCGAUAUCGAUAAGAAAUCUUCUUUUACUUCUUUAAUUUAAAAAUUUAUCCUUAUGAAAUAUCCUACUAUAUUAUUACUUUUAUGCUAAUACACAGUUUAUGACUCAUGUUACAUAAUAAUAAAAAAGUAAAAACUGGCGUAUAAAACCUUUUUUUUUUUUAGAGAUGAUAUAAAUGAUAUAAUUUUAUAAUCUUCGUAUUUUCUUCGGAAUAAUGAAAUCAAUGUUAGCAGCGUUACAAGAUUCUUCGCUUAGCUGUUGCACCUCCGCGUGUUCAACCCUACCGCGAUUAAUUCAUUUAUACGCUUCUCGUUUAAUAAUUAGCGCCGGCUUGAACUUCUAUCCAUAAAUGCAGAGUGGAACACAGUGUUCCCGGCUUCCUGGCUAACUUUUGUAAUCACUUUAAGUGCAGUCGCGUACGACUUGAUGAGAAUUCGAGCGAAUGAAACGAACACGAAAAUCCGUGGCAGUUAGAAUGCUGAUGCUCUCGCUCGAAAAUCGCGCCGUUUAGGAAAUUGAUACCGAUUCCUUCCUUCGUUUCGAUGAAAAUUGGUUACAGAUAUUGGUUACAGCCGUUGCGAAUAAUCGGGCAAGAAUUAAUUCGUAAGAUGUGGUGGAAUUUAAAAAUUAAGCUUUCGUUUUAAAAUUGGCGAGAUCGACGAGAAUAUCGAUGAAACGGAAUAAGUCUCGUUUGGAAUAUUUAUUUUCGCCAAAGAACUACUCCUAUUUUUUUUUAAGUUAUGCAGAAGAUUAUGCAGUUGAUUGUAUUAUUACCCACCUCUCUCGUCAAACUUUUUCGCUAUGGGAAAGGGAAUUUUUUUGAAUAUUAUCUUGACAAUAACACACACAAGAUUUCCAUAGAACGGGGAAACUAAUAACAGAGCAAUUACAACAAGUUUUAUCGCGUCGUCGAAUAUUCAAUGCACGCUUUUCGAUGAAAACGUUCGGUUGAAAUAAAACUUUCAUCCGUCCGCUUAUUCCGAGGCCAUUUUCUGGCCAUUGCCUACGCAAUUUUUGAACAUACUCGAAAACCACUUUUGCACAUUCGAUUGAAUGUCGUGCAACUCGUUUCGUAUUGUUUUUCAUCCUUUCUUCCGCGUUCUCCAACAUAUUUUACACUUCGAUAUAUGGAUUUUUCAAUGAAACAAAUCGAAACAAUUUUGAUGAACAAAUAUCGAGGACGAAUUUUAAUUUCAACAAAUUAUUUCUCUCUAGUGCGUAUAUAUAUUUCAAUUUAUCCAACGUAUUUCUUUUUUCUUUAUACGAAAAUUAUAAAUUCGUUUUUUAUUAGUUGCUCCAUCUCGAAUUUCAAAUAACUUGCAUAUAUUAUUACAAAUUACACGAGUUUUUAUCGCAAUUACAAAUUUAUUAUUUUACAAAAUAAUCAUCGACACGCACAGAUAUAUAUAUAUAUACAUAAUCAAUAAACUAUUUUUAACUAAGAGCUUCGAAUACAAUGACCAUAUUCGAGAACGACAUUCAAGAAAUAACGACAACAAUUAUGCGCAAACCAGUCUCCAAUCAUCUACGUAUAUUAUUAUAUCGCGAAAUACCAAGUCUAAUGAAUCGAACGUCCAAACGAAUGCCGCCUCGUCGCUUUGUCACCCCUCGUCCCCCUCGACGGAAUAUUUAGGGCCAGAAUUCGAUCGAGAAUUCGUACAUACGCACAAAAUGUGUAUAACGCAAUCCAUUUCCAUUUGUACACUUGAUUAGAAUAUCGACGGUGCGCGUGGGCGAGGGGGAAAGAGGGCGAGAGGAGGAUGAUUCGCUUUCGCAUUCGGUGACAUCAGGCCAAUCCGCGUAUCGGUUGGCGGGGUAUCGUUCGUUUGGACGCUUCGUGAAACACGAGCAAUGUGCAAGCACACUGUUUAAUAUUAACGUUGGUUACGCGUGCAUUAUGUCGCCGGAUAUUUACAUCGCGGAUCACGCGCUUCCACCGCGAAGGUUUUAUUAUUUAUAAUAAAACGGAAGCGCAAAUAUUUUUUCUCGAACUAAUUUUAAACGUGGUUUACGAGAUCAGGAAGAAGGGAGGGAGGGAGAGAAGCUUUGGGUCAAUAAUUGAUGAACAGACGCGCGGUAAGGGUUAUUUGUUGCUGUUCGUGAUAAGAGGAUGUUGGAAAUUUUGAGGAAUAUUAAUCUUUUCCUUUGUUCAAUCGUUUCAUAAAAUAAAUAUUCAACAAUUUUUAGAGAGAAUUAAGUUGUUUAUAUCUCCUAUAAAAAUAAUUCUAAAAUAUAAUCAAUUUCAUUCGCAUAUCAGGAAAUUUUUAUUUGUAGAAACUGCAUACAGGAGAGAGAUUCGCUAUCGUCAUUCUCUUUUUUCUUUUUUUCUUCUCAAAUAUCUCAAAUAUAUUCAAAUCCAAAACUGGGAUUUGAGCAUAAACUCGUUCCUCGGAUCAUCUCCUUCCCUCUUCCUCGAAUUAACCGAUAAGAAACGUUAGGAAAGAAUUCCACUCGAAUUUGAAUCUCCCUCCCUCGCCGUUUGAAAUUUACGAGGGAGCCGUGUAAAGUUAGCAGCUCCGAUUUGCCAUCGGUCAACGAGGGGCAAACAGGGAGAAAAGUAUGAUCCUUCGUGCCGUUUCCGCCUCUCCUCCCUUCUCUCCUUAUUCGAUUUCACUACCAAAUGCGGGAAAAUAUAUACGUUUGCCUCGAUGCACAUAUCAUCACCCCCCUUCCCCCUCGUAUUUUUCUGAGAGGAGGGGGGAAUCGAGGAACGCGAAGGAUCGAAGUUGGAAACAAGGGGGAAGUGCGAGGGACUUUUGAACGAUUUCGAUGGGCGCACCAUAAUGUAUCAUUUCACCGAUGAUCCGAUCGGUGAGUUACGGAGUUUUACGGGGAGCGGAGAGUGGAUUUACGUGGUGGUGCGUGGAAGUUAACCGCUGAUCCGGCUCCAAGUGGCGGAAUUCACUCUUGCACUUUCCAACACCAUAAUUCACGAACCGGUGGGAUAUCCCGGAUUCCGGGACGUUAUGGAAUAAUCUACUGGGAUUUUCCUUUUUUUUUUCCUUUCUUUUUACUCGCCAUCCCUUUCUCUUCCCUUUCUGAACGGUCGAUCGAUCUGACAUCUUUGGAUUCUUUUAAAUUUUUUCGACUUGACUAGAAGGUGAUUUUUAUCAGAUUUCUGGUAUCUGGAUUCUGGAUCUUUUUCAACAAUAGUUGGCAGUCAUUAUAUUUGGAUACAGAAUCGCUUAAUAUUUUAAAGAUAUAGAUUAGUAACUCGGGUCUUGUCCAAAUCACGUUAUUAAUCAUCACUGAUCUCAUUCGAAUCAAACAUUCGAACGAGUCAAGCUUUUCAACUUACCAAUUCCUUCUUCUCUUUUUAAAAUAAAUAAAUAAAUAAAAAGGGCACUUUUCCCUGCCAAACCACCAAACUUGAUCCACGAGGUCUCGAAACGCGCGAUAUCAGACUCUCGCCGAUCAGAUAUCGGUCUCUCGAAGCAGAUUUAAAUCAAUCAAUCAAACACACUCGUACACAAGAGGGAGGGGGGGUGGUGGAUGGGACGCGGCUCUCAGAAAAUCCCGGCGUUAAAUUUCAACCGCGCAAAUGGUAAACAUUUCCAGGAGCUGGCUGCCUCUCUCGUAAAACCGAUCGACCUCGUUACAAAUCAUCCCUCUCCUCCUACCCUCGAGUCGUGUCCCCCUCCUAGAGCGGGAGGACGGAUAAACGCGCAAACACUCUUCUCCCGCUGUGCUCGUUCCCCACUUUUCCAUCUCUAUCUUCCCUCCUUCCUGUUUCUUUCUUUCUUUCUUCCUUCCUUCCUUUCUUUCCUUUUUUCUCCUUCUUCCUCUCUCUUCUCUCCUCUUGUUGCCCGGUUUUUUGCGGCCAAGGCGUUAAACCGGGCGACUAUUAAAACCGCACCGGUUGCCAAUUUCAGGCGAACGGCCAUAUUUCGGUGUCGAAACGUCGAAAAGGAAUUCAUGGCCACCGUUACCCAGCCAGGACACUGUGAAUUAAAGCUCGCCCCUCGGCAAAUGGACGAGCGGAAGAAGCGCGUCGUCGCUGUUUUCUCUCGUUUGUGAUGAAAAAAAGGAAGAGGGGGGGAGAAAGAGGGAUGCUCGUGCACUUAGCGAAUGAUUUUUAAAUUGAAUCACGUUUUUUUCGCCUGGCCGAAAAUCCGCUCUCCGUCUCGCUCCUCCGUCUGUGUAUUCUUCCCCCUCUUUUGUCGUUGUUUCGUCAGAUUCGGGAAAAAGAGGUGGAAUUGGAGGAAAAAGAAGGGGAGUUGGAACAACUCGUCCGGUGGUUUUCUUCGAUGAAGCAAGAAAACUCUGGUUUCUCGCGAGAGGGCAAUUACUCUCGAUUGUUUGGUCUGGAUGUCUUUUGUUUAGGUGUAAAUGUAAAAAAGAAAAACGACAGACGCCCUCUGUUUCCUGCAAACCGAUAGAGAAUCGAUGGUUUCUUUAGGUUCUCCUAGGAUCGUUAAAUUUCUUCUUAUUUCAUGGAUCGUACUCGUAAAUUUUAAUAUCAAAGUAUUGGAUAUAGUUUUUAUAAAUAUGAAUAAAAAGGAGCCACCCUGUCAAAUUUGUGUACGUAUAUUUUUUUUGUAUCAGAUUUAUGGACAAAAAUUUUGAAGCGUUUCGAAGAUCUUGUUAUUUGUCGUAUAAAUACACGAACUUCGAGUAAACUUUAAUAAAUUAUUUCUAAUUGUAAUAUCGAGAGGAACUAUAAAGAUGAAUUUUCUUCGUUUUAAUGGCAGAAAGUUUUAAUAGAAGAUCAAGUUUCUUAAAAACGGUAAAAACUUCUUAAAACUUUAAGAUAUAAUUUAUUAAUAGAAAAGGACAAUAAAAAAUAAUGUAUGAUUACACGUUAGAGAACAAAGUUCGAGUAAACUCGAGGAAAAUUGUUUCUAAUCGAAAUAUCGAAAAUAACUGUAAAGAUGAAGUUUCUCUCGUUUAAAACAAAGUGGAAGUACAAGUUUCGCGAAAUGGUUGAAACUUCCAUUUAAAACUUGAAGAUGUACAAUUUCCUGAUCAAAGGAAGUAAUUAAAAAUAAUAUGCGAAUUCAUUUUAGAAAAAGUUCAAAUAAAAUUCGGAAGGUUAAGUUCCUAAGUUGAAACAUUAAAGAAUGAUAACAAAUUUUCUCUCUCUUUUAAAAUCAAGUUUCGUAAAACAAUUGUAAUCGAUUUUUAAAAUUUCGAAAUAAUUUAUCUAUCGAUAUAAUCAAAACAGUGUACGAAUUAUGGAACAAAGUUCAAGUGAAAAUAAACUUUUAGAAAAUAUUUACAGAUUAAGAUAAAGUUUCUCGAAAAUAAUUUUUUCGUUAAACUUUUAUAUUCUUUUUUUUUGUUCCAGAACUUUAAAAUUUGAAGAAAAGAAAGUAUAAUUGAAAGUAUAACUGCGUGAACUUUCGUUUAUGUUAUACCUUUUAAAUCAAGUAAUAUUUUUUUAUCCGCAAAAUUGACUUUGCGUCAUUUUUAAAUUCUUUGUCUUGUCAAUGGUGGAAAACUUGAUUUCCGACUCGAGUUGUUCGAGAAAUUUGACGCUGCCAAGUUUCACCGACACUUGGCUUGUCAGACUGCAAUUUAGAUUAAAAGGAAUAAUUACAACGGCUAUUUUGCACGGAACUUCACGUGCUCGUAAAUCUGCUCGCUCACUUCUCACGACCGAGAGAUUUUACCGGGAACUUCCGUGCACCGAUAAAACGAAAGCAAAUUAAGACACGUUGCUUACCAGACAAAAAUGAAAUAAUAGGAGUUAGGGAAAGUGGAAAAUUAGGUUGCCUUUGAGCAAGUGUAAAAUUCAUAAAAUAAGGAAAAUACCAUGGACAAAUGGGUUUUCUUAAUAAAUAAGAUGGCGAAAUUAAUUCUACGUCCUUGAGCAAAGUCCAUAAUGAUGUUAUCAAGAUACUUUCAUAAUAAGCUAUGGUUACUUUAAUUAAAAUCGCAGCAUGAUAAACAUCGUAUAAUUAAAACUUAUUAUUUAAAUUUAAUUACAAAUUUUACAAGUUUUUCUAUAGUGAAAAUUAAUAAUCAAGGUAUAGAGAGCAUCUUUGAAAAUAAUCAAGAAAAUAAAAUUUACGAAGCUUCUUUUUAUCUCUAAGUAGAUUUUCGCGAUUUCUAAUUAAACCCGUUAUUUAUUAAAAUUGAAAAGCAAAAAAAAAAAAAAACUGAAAGCACUGUUAUUAAAGCUCGAAUUCGAAUAAAAAAAAUCACAAGAGUCGCAAAAGGUAUAAUUCAUUUCUAAACAAGAACGAAUUCGAUCUGAAUUCAACGAUCGGCUCGUAAUCGAGGUGGAAGGGUGAAGUUUAAACGAACCAUAAGCGUUGUCUAACUAAAUCGGGGGCAAUCUUAUUUCCAUCCUGCUCGAGAAUAGUUCUGGUUGUACGUACGUCGAUUUAGUGUCUUCGACGGGAAGUUUCCAGAUGCUUUUAGUGGCCUUGGUUGGCGUGCAUACUUCCGGCCUGCCGGUUGGCUUACGGGGUUCCCUUCCUAUGCCAGUUAAGCGGAUGUCUUGAAGGUUCGAGGACUCGACAGCUUGCGGGCUAAGUGGUUGUAAUACCUUUAACCGGAAUAUGUUCCAACUUCUGCUGGAAAACAUAGAAUCAGAAAUCUUGAACCGUUUUGUAAAGCUCGUUGAAGAUAAAGAACGUUGAAUUUUGAUGAUAAGAUCUUCAUUGAUCUCGCAGCGUUAAAUGCAAGAAAGAAUGUAGAAUAGGGAUUAGAAUAAUAAUUCAUUCGAAUAUCAUUUCUCUGUUUUCCUUUCUCGUUCGUAUAUCUUUAUUCUGAUCUGUGUAUGUUUUCAUAUUGGAAAUUUUUUUCAUUUGAUUUGCAAUUUUUUAACGCAGGAUCAAAGGGAGUAUUUAAAAAUCGAAUAGGAAAUCGGCGAUGAACGUGUUAACGUGUUAGAUGGAUAAAUUAUACGAAAAUUUUUUUGUUUAAAAGCGAAUAAAGUUUUCAUAGUUUUUUUUUAAUUAUUUAACUACUUUUAUUUUUGUAUCAAAUUGUAUUGAAAUAAAUAUACGAAAUAGAGUAAAGUGAAUUUUUAAAAGCGAAGGAUUCGACGACUUUAAGCGAUUGUAAAGAGUACUUAACCAGAAUGUAAUCCUACUUACCGCAUUGCCAGAAAACUCGUCUCGAGUUGUAUAACAGUUUACCCUGGUACUUUGAAAUUUUCUGCCGGACCAAGUCGGGUUUACGAAGUAAAUUGAAACUAAUUGCGCUUGUCAGCAUUUAACGUUUACUUUGACUACUUGGAAUCUAAUGAAACCGAUGGGAUGUUCAUUGUAAUUUGCUAAAAAUUUAAUAAUCAUUUGAUUAUCAAAAAAUUUAACUUCUUACUUCUCAUAAAUUUUAAAUAUGUUUCGUUGAAGAAUGAAAAAAAUGAAGAAGUAAUUCGUUCAUUUCUUAAUUAUUCAUACUCAUUUUUUAAAGAUUAAUAUAUAAAAUUCUUGUAAUAAGUUGACAUGUUUUUUAUAUGAGUAUUUUUAAACUCAUUGCUUGAUCCAUUUAAAUAUUCCAUGAUAUGAUAAGUUAAACGUCCCAUUAAUAUUUUAUCAUUAAUUAUUUUACAAAUUUGAACGUGAAAAUGGGAGGAAAUACAAACCUGACAAAUUAGAAUCUUUUUAACAAAUGGAAUUCCUGUUAUUGAAAUUUAUUGAUUUUAAAUGCAACGAUUCACUUUUCUCUUUAUAUAAAUGUAUCAAAUAUUAAUUAUACGAAAUAAUAAAUUACAUCAUUAUUAUUUUAUUUAAUUUGAACAUUCUCUCUUUAAUUUAUAUUCAACGUAACAUAUCUCCAAAUAUAUAUCUCGAAAAAUAUUGAGAUAUUCGUUUCAAAUGAAUAAGUUAUCCCAUUUCACAAACAAAAGGAAUCGUUGUGUAAAUAUCUCAGAAGUUAUAAUCAGUCAACGAUGUUUGCCGAGAAGAUUUCUUUACUGCAUUAACUUGAAACUAGAGAGUUACUUCAAACAUUCUUAGAUGAUUAAGAACGUUUUAUGAUGCACGAAGGUUGUCUGCAAUAGUGGAAAAGAAAAAAAAAAAAUUGAAAAAAUCUAAAGGGGAAUUGGUAUACAGAAUCAAUACAAAUACAGAAUCUUUCGUUCACGUAAUAUUUCAUAUCAAACUUCUCUUGAAUUCGUUUCCUUUUGAAAACAAUUUCUUAGCUAAAUUUGAUUUAAUUCUAUCCCAUGUUGUAUACAUUGAUCAAAAUACAUCCAAGAUUCUCAAACAUAAUAUUUUAUCAUGCAAAUUUCUUUUAAAACUUCUAUUGAAUUCCCUCCCCCCCUGAAAACAAUUUCUACGAUUUCUUAGCCAAAUUUAAUUUUAUUCCAUUCUGUUUCAUACAGAUGUCUUAUUCUGUAUCUCAAAUUAUCCAAGAUAAUAUCUUAAAACUUUUUACCUUUUUUUUAAAUUUCUCUUGGCUCGUAUUACACGCAUAACGCGAAUUUAUGCAUUAUAAUGCUUUUGAGGAUAGUUUUACGAAUAUCUUCAUAAAUUUGAGAAGAUAUCCAGGAUAUGGUAUCAGCGGAAAGCAAUGAUCUAACUUAGGUAUCUGUUAAAUCGUAAGACCAAACGGUCGUUCCAUAUAUUUCGGCGAUGUGCUCGAAUAUUUUCCAACUUCGCCCACAGACAAGGAUGUACAGAUGAAAUUGGUGGAACUUAACCGAUUCUCUUCUCGGUUUUACCUCUUUGCUACCAUUGUGCAAAUCCCAGACAUGUUUACGCAAAUGCGGUGAAGUAUUACUUUCCCUCGAAAAACUGGAUUUAUUCGAUGGGAGAACAAGGAAACGAGCAUGGACAGUGGAGAAUGAAAUGUGAAAGUUACGUCUUAAAAUGUAUCAUAUAAUUAUAUAUAUAAAUUAAUUACAUUUUUAAUAUUUUUGUUUUUUACAGAAAAAAAUUUUGAUACUAAAAUAUUGAGUAGUAUAAAUACUAUAUCCAUGGCAUCAGAAAUAAUUCUGAAGAAAGGAUAACAUUUGUUAUAUUAUUUUUUUAAUGAUGGAUAAAUAAUAAUAAGUAAUAUAAAUUCAAAUUUUGUAUAAAUAUCAACAAUUAUUUAGAUCAAAAUUAUUCAAAGUAAAAUAUUAAUAAGAAAAUAAUAAAAAAAUAUCAUGAAGUAUAAACUAACUAUUUAAUAUGUAGAUUAAACUUUUUUCUCUUCAUCUUUGAUUAAACUUAUUUUGCAAUUGUUUCAUAAAUGACAAAUUAAGACUAAUUUCUUCCAAUGCUUCCUAUUUAAUUGCUUUAUAUACAUAUAUAAAAUGAAAUCACAUAUUUUCUAUCUUUAGUCAGAAAGCAAUCAAUCAAAACACAUUCAAGCAAGAAACAGAGACAAACAGGAAGGAAAAAGGCUUUUCCGAGUUAUUUAACAGGGCGUCGAAACAGCAAUGCAAUCAGAUGAUAAAUCACAAAAAUGAACGACCAUAAUAAAUCUCACUUACACGAUUAAUAGGUAAAACGCAUCAGCCAGAAAAUGGAGAUCCCAAUCGAAUUUUCCUCAUUGCAUUUUUAUUCAUAUCCUGUUAACUUUAUUCCCUAUAAAAUAUCCCAAAAAAUAAUCCCGAAAAAGUAAUUGUACGGCCAACAAUAAUCAAGUGCGUAAAUCUGAAAAAAAUUGCAAUCAAAUUGGCCAACUUUUAUUUACAUUUUUAUAAAUAAAUUUGGAUUGUUGAAUCUAUUUGGACACGAAUAAAAUUUCGUUUAUGAAUAUCAUUAUUACUUUUAAAAACUGUGCAACAAUUAAAUCGAAAAAUUUAUUGGACAAUAAAGUAAAAAUAUUAAUAAAUCGCUCGAUACUUUUUAAAAGCUCAGAUCAUUAUACAAAUUUGAAAGAAAUAAAUACAAGAAUAUAUAUUGUUAGUAGAAAAAAAAUUUUAUUACAGUUCCAAGAAAUUAAAAGUUAUUUUUCGUCAAUUUUAAGACUAUUAUAACCAACGAACAAGCAUUCCUUCAUCGUAAAUAUAUAAAAUUAUCAUAAAUCGAAAAGAUUUUAUUAAAGAAAGAAAAAAAAAGAAAUUCAACACAAAUUAAGUUCACGAGCAGAAGCAGUAAAAAUCGGUGAAAGAUCGAGAAAAGUAAUUCUUCCGAUAAUUUUGGAUAGAAUGAUUUAUGACAAGCUGUAUGACGAUUAAAUGGAAUGGAACACUGUGUCAUAGCGCAAGAAGAACGUUCACUGGAAGGGUCAGUUUGUGGGUUAAGUGGUCGUAUUACGUUCAAGCCUGGGACGUGGUUGAACUUUCCACAUAUGGGGACGAAGAGGGACGAUUUAGCUGUCUCUGGGAGGGUUGUGAAGCUAUUCUAAAGUUUCUAACGUUGGUUAUUAUACAAGUUAAUGUCGCUUAAUUUCUUUCUGUGGAAAUAGAAUGUUAAUUUAAUCUUGUACAGUUAAUGAAUUGAAAAUCCUUUAAGAUAUUAUUAUAAUUAAAAUAACCAUAUAAUUCCGGUAUGAAGGUAAAUGUUAUUGGAGAGAGGAUUAGAGAUAAAAUUUUUUAUUUAACUUUAUCGUUAUUUAUACAGAAACUACUAAUUAUUAAAAAAGGAUAGCAUUCAUUAAUAUUAAAUUUGUAAAGGAAAUAUUAUAACUGAAGUCAUGUUUAUUAUACGAGUGUUACAUUAAUCUUUGAGGAAGUUGCUUAAUAAUAUUCAAGAAUAUUCUCUCAAAAUCACUUCCCUCUUCAUCAUUUAACAAUUUCAAAAUGGAUUUGUAAUUUCUUCUUCAGUUUACGCUCAUAUAUAACAUAUCACAAAUAUAUAACGUAUCUCAUAAAAUAAUAAAAUUGAAGAAACAUCAAUUAACGUUUCAUGGGAAAAUAACAAGAUAUCGAGCUUUCUAAUUCGCAAACUGAAACGUCUAGCUCUUAUGGAAGGAACAGUAUUUCCGCUCAUAAGUCUGUUACCUCAUACAUCGGCUUCCUCGAUGUGAUAUGUGUUCACGAAGCUCGCGAGAGGAAGAAACAUGCACGAGAGCACGAAGGGGGGUCGAUCCUGACGCGAGCUAUAGUUCUUCGAAUCAGACAGCCGGUCAAAGAAGGAGAAGAAGGUCACGGAAAAAGGAAGCGAGAGGAAGAGGAAGAGGAAGAAGAAGAGGAGACGCAGGAUGAUAGCAGAGCCAGACUGGACGGCGCUGGUCUCGUCGCUCGCGUGGUAAACAAAGCUGUAACUCUCCUCUCGCGGAGAGGAAUCAAUGGUUGGUAGCGGAGCUCUUCGAGGUACAAACUCGCGGAGUAAACCCUCUCGGAGGCAUCCAUCUUAGUUUUGGCGUAACGUGCAUGCUGAUGCACUCGUGGGGAAUGCUGUCACAGAAUGAGAUAGAAGAGCAACAUUCGAUUUAACAAGUCGCCCGGGUCCUUUCGGCAUUUUGUGGUCGUUUGAGCGAUGACGACGAGGUGAAAACCACCGAGGGAGAACCUGUGGAACACUUGGCACCGUACACCGAGGUCAAUCGCUCGUGACGAAGGUUUUACAAGGGUGGGAAACAAGGGUGGCGAGACUAUUUCAGCAACCAUGGUUAAGCCCUCAAAGGUGGUUAAGUCGAGCUGAAGAUUGUAUUUAGUGGUUCUUCUAUGAUACGAUAUUUGCCGUUUGAUCUCAAAUAAAUUCUAUAUAUUCCUAAAAUGAGAUAAUUAUGUUUUAUAAUUAUUAUAGAAAUUGUUUUUUUUUAUGUAAUUCUUAUUUAUAUCCUUUUAAAAUUAAUUAUCUCUAAUAUUUAAUUAAAAUUUUCAAUUAUAUUUUUAUCUCAUUUUGAUUGAUCGGUAAAAAUAUUGUAAUUAUAAUUUUUAUAUGUUACUAUAUAUAUUCUUUCAUUAGAUAGUAUAUACUUUUUAACAUAAUUUAAUUUUUUCUUUUUCGUGGAUUAAACUCAUUCCAGAUUUCGUAAAUUAUUUUUUUUCAUCAAUUUUCAUGUAUAUAUAUGUAUAUAUACGUUGAAAAAAAUGAGAAAUUAUUAAAAAAAUUAUAUGAUUAUAUUUUUAAUUUAUUACAUUAAUUUUCUCACCAUAUUGCUGGCACUUACGCGCCACCUCUUAGGUGAAGGCGGUAUUAAUUAAUAAUUGCGCAUUGCGCAUCGUUUCGCGCCAAUAAAUCGACGCCAUUAGAACACUAUACGUUACGCGGUACGUGCACGCAGUGAAAAAUUCGUUCGCAUUUUCAUUUUACAAAGACAAACGCGUGUGAAUUGAAUAUUGUGAAAUAAAUAAACGUUCGAAUAAUCAUCAGUGCGAAUAAUAUUAUUUCAAUAACAUCAAUAACAUCAAAUUUAUCAGUGAUUCAGUGCUAUUCAGUGUGAGCUGCGAAACAUAACCAACGAAAAUGAGACGCAAUAAGACGAUUGUUCAAGAUUAUCGAAAAUUUAUAGAAGUUUCCAAUGCAAAAAGAAAAGAAAAUGCAGCUACUUAUUAUU